rnacentral:tRNA from 1 species
CGAAGUAUAGCUUAACACAAAGCACCUUGCUUACACCAAGAAGACGUUCUUUCAUAAAAACUACUUCGAG